ACGGUCCGACCAUUCGAGGGCCUGGGCGACCAUGCCCACCAGUCCCCACGAUUUGCCCUCCACUCCACCAAUGUGUUACUAACGAUUGCCCCUCAAGAGCAAGCCACAAGGGAUUCAGAGGUCUUGCAGCGCUAAUAUUAAUGUGCUGCUACCGUGACCUCGCCCAUGGGGUCUGCGGCUGCAGGGCCUCCCAGCCAGCCACCCGCAUGAAGCUGUAGCCCAUUGUGGGAUUGCUCGCAGUCAAGGGCAAGAUGACCGCAGUCCAGUGGGCCAUGAGGACCACUGGGCUGAGCAAGAAGCAGUUGGAUGCGGUGGACUUGGAGUGAUACACGCCCUGUUAGGAACCACCUUAGGUGUGGGAAGUGUAGGCGGUGUGUGGGGCUGUACUUGGCUAUUGGGCUGUCCUGUCCAUGCGCCUAGUUGCGAGCCCCUUAGCAUAGGCCUUGUGAUCGCUCAGGGAUCCAUCAUAACACUCAUUCAUUUGGUAUGCUGCAGUACCAUAUGCAGUUCCAGCAUGGAUCGAGCGUGUGAUUGUAG
rnacentral:lncRNA from 1 species